UUUGAAUUAGUCUGGUGAUUUGUGGUUGUUUUAGCUUGGGCAUUCCUUUUAAUUUCUUCUACUUUGUUUACCCCUUUUUUUUCAUAGCGAGAUUAUUCGAUUGUUAAGAGGAUUUAUUGUUGCUUAGUGUGAAACUGUUUUUGGUGUCUCAGGAUGUGAACCUAAAUAUUUUACAGAUGGUGUUAGUGUUGCAAGUGGUAAUUUCCUUGCAGCUAAGAGAAGAGGAGUAGUAGAAGGAAUUGAUUAUGGAUCAACGGGUGAAGUUAAGAAAGUAGAUGUUUCUCGUAUACAACUAUUGGGAAAGAUUUUUGUCCAAUCGGGAAACAAUAUCAGGCUCUGCUAGCUGCUCUUGCUAUUAUGUCGGAUCUUAUGUUCGACUUCUUGGGAAGGUGCAGUAACGAAGCCCUCAAGGAAGAGAUGGAAGAGAAAAGAAGGGCUCAGGUGCACUUUAAGUUAUGUAAUGUGCUACCUCAGACGAUUGCCUAUUUGGUGCCUAUUUUUUAAGUUUGUCACUUUAAUAAUUCUGAUGGUAGCGGUCAUUCUUCAUUUUUCACUAAAUCUCUAUUGCAGAUUACUUUCAUGAGGAAGAAGGAUUUCAGGAAAGAGCAACUAGUUCUUGAGGACUUAGUGCUAGAAUACAUAGUAUGAUAGAUUUUCGUUUUAGCUAUAAGAUAGUUGGUACUUUUAAUUUUGAAUCGAAUAUGCAAUGAUGAUGUAUACUUGAUACUUGGUUCAUUUGGAUGGUAAUGUAUGAAUAUUUUGGAUGAUAUAUAAAAUUGUUAUUGUUGAUUUUAUCA